GGGCGAGGUCCUCCUGCUUCUGGAGGAGGCGAACAAGCCGAGCCAAGCCAUGAGGCGCCCGUGGCCAACACAGUCUAUUAAACCUUCGAUAUGCUGGAGGGUGAUGAGGUGACAUGGAGCUAAACAUAGAUUGAAGAUUCUGUCAUGAGUUCCUCAGAGAAGAUAGAACAAAUGAGUAUGGAGAUCCAGCUGUUGAAGACGCCGAGGGACAAGAACAUUCAGGAGUUGUUCGCCUAAUGGGUUGGUGAGAACAAGAAUACAGUUAACAUCAUCACAGAGCCCUGCACAUCUCGCAUGCGAGGCAGUUCUGUAGGAAGCACAAGAAAGUGGGUAUGAAAGCUAUGAGACGAUGGCCAAUACAGAUAUUGACAGGGCUGGAAUAUCAUUAGAGUCCGGCGCCAACGAAUAUACAUAGCGACUUAAAGUGUGACAAUAUAUUCAUAAAUAGUCCUGAUGGAACAGUGAAGAUCGGCGACUAUAUGGUCUGGCGACAUAAAUUGCAUCAAUGGAAAAAGCAAAGUGUCAAAGGCGCAUUAGACUUUAUGGCACUAGAACGCUUCACUGGCAAUACAAUGAGUUGCUUGGGUAUUCCAAUCCCCUUCGCAGCCUCUUCUGUCAAUCCAGCAGCACACCGCUGCCCUUCGCAUCCUCCCUGCAUCACUGCAACUGGGCCGUGCUCACAUCGUCUGCGGUCACAUGCGCAAUCUCUGCGCUCGACGCUGCCUCCACCGAGAUUCAUUGCAAGGUCUGUUCAUAGCCACGGUUCCUGCUCCGUACCAUUGUUGAUGCUCCUGUUAAUGGAUAAGUGUCCAACAAAAUUACCUGCAGGGUGCCUGAAACGCCCACUGCUGGGUACAUGCAUACAACAAUUAUGCCAUGUCUUCCCUAUUCGAUCGGUCGCACAUGUAUGUUUCUUUUCCUUCUUUGUUUAGUUUUAAAGAAAAGAUUAAUUUCUGAACUCACCAU